UUGUCAAAUCUUAGUUACUUAAAAAGUAUUUCUUU
rnacentral:tRNA from 1 species